AUUGAACGCUGGCGGCAGGCCUAACACAUGCAAGUCGAACGAGUUGCGGACGGGUGAGUAAUGUCUGGGAAACUGCCCGAUGGAGGGGGAUAACUACUGGAAACGGUAGCUAAUACCGCAUACCAUCGGAUGUGCCCAGAUGGGCUUAGCUUGUAGGUGGGGUAACGGCUCACCGCGGCGACGAUCCCUAGCUCGUCGGAGAGGAUGACCAGCGACAAUGGAACUGGGACACGGGCCCGACUCCUACGGAAGGCAGCGGUGGGGAAUAUUGCACAAUGGGCGCAAGCCUGCUGCAGCCAUGCCGCGUGUAUGAAGAAGGCCUUCGGGUUGUAAAGUACUUUCAGCGAGGAGGCGUUACUCGAAGAAGAAGCACCGGCUAACUCCGUGCCAGCAGCCGCGGUAAUAC
rnacentral:rRNA from 1 species